rnacentral:rRNA from 1 species
AAAGCCCCUUCGGGGGUGAGUACAGUGGCGAACGGGUGAGUAACGCGUAAGAAUCUUCCCUUGAGUGAAGGAUACCAUCGAGAAAUUGAUGUUAAUACUGCAUAACCCUUUUAAUUGAGAGAUUAAAAGGCAAAGACGGCCUCUUUGCUGUCGCUUAAGGAUGAGCUUGCGUACUAUUAGCUUGUUGGUGAGGUAAAGGCUCACCAAGGCGAAGAUGGUUAGCCGGCCUGAGAGGGUGAUCGGCCACAUUGGGACUGAGAUACGGCCCAGACUCCUACGGGAGGCAGCAGUGGGGAAUUUUGCACAAUGGGGGAAACCCUGAUGCAGCGACGCCGCGUGGAGGAUGAAGGUCUUCGGAUUGUAAACUCCUGUACUAGGGGGAAGAAAUGCGUACGAGUAAUAUGCGUACGUUCUGACGGUACCUCUAGAGAAAGCUCCGGCUAACUUCGUGCCAGCAGCCGCGGUAAUACGAAGGGAGCGAGCGUUAUUCGGAAUUACUGGGCGUAAAGAGCGUGUCGGUGGCUUAGUAAGUCAGUCGUCAAAGAUCACUGCCCAACAGUGUAAAUGCGAUUGAAACUGCUUGGCUAGAGGGCAGGAGAGAGGGGUGGAAUU